AGUCUCACUCUGUCACCCAAGCUGGAGUGCAGUGGCAUGAUCUUGGUCCACCGCAAUCUUCGCCUCCCGGAUUCAAACAACUCUUGUGCCUCAGCCUCUGGAGUAGGUAGGAUUACAGCUACCAGAGUAUUGUGAAAGAAGAAACACUGUUGUCGAAGGCUGCUGAUAUUGCCUAUUAGCCAGAAGAAAGAACCUGAAUCAUUCAAAGGUUUUCCAUCUGGCAAAGAAGUCCAGAAGUACUGGACCGUCUGCCUAGAUCUGCAUGUGCUAAGUAUCCAAGUAAGUUGGAGCAACAUAUCAACGGCAACCAGUGAAGAAAUGAAAGUUCAUCAGCUAAAAACUUUGGAGUUAGACAUAUGGAAAGCCCGUCCUAAGGGAAGAAUCAGAGGAGAAGGGAUACAAGACCCCAGGAGCACACCCAGCGCCUUAAUAUGCAUGCUUCGUCUCUCUAAAAUGGUGGAACCUGUUUGUUUACCUGUCUGUAGCAGACACAGGAGUUGUCCUCACACUGUGCGUCCUGACUUCCACAGGAAUUUGAGUUGUAGCUGCAAUGCAGCUACCAACCAGGGAUACAGUUUCUCAGCCCCACGCCUUGCACCUACAGCUAAGUGUGGCCUUGUGACUGGUUUUCAUCAAUUAAGUAUGAAUAGAAACAAAGUGCACCACCUUCAUUUGGAGGCUUCGAAGAAGCAAGGGUACCCUUCAUUUGCUCUCUUUCGCCUUGUGCUGGGGGGAUACAGAUGA
rnacentral:lncRNA from 1 species